rnacentral:rRNA from 1 species
GGAGUUAGCCGGUGCUUCUUCUGCGAGUAACGUCACAGCUAGCAGGUAUUAACUACUAACCUUUCCUCCUCGCUGAAAGUGCUUUACAACCCGAAGGCCUUCUUCACACACGCGGCAUGGCUGCAUCAGGGUUUCCCCCAUUGUGCAAUAUUCCCCACUGCUGCCUCCCGUAGGAGUCUGGGCCGUGUCUCAGUCCCAGUGUGGCUGAUCAUCCUCUCAGACCAGCUAGGGAUCGUUGCCUAGGUGAGCCAUUACCUCACCUACUAGCUAAUCCCACCUGGGCUUAUCCAUCAGCGCAAGGACCGAAGUUCCCCUGCUUUCCCCCGUAGGGCGUAUGCGGUAUUAGCAGUCGUUUCCAACUGUUAUCCCCCACAAAUGGGCAAAUUCCCAGGCAUUACUCACCCGUCCGCCGCUCGUCAUCUUCAAAAGCAAGCUUUUGAAAUGUUACCGCUCGACUUGCAUGUGUUAGGCCUGCCGCCAGCGUUCAAUCUGAGCCAGAUCAAACUCUGA